rnacentral:rRNA from 1 species
CUACCAGAAGAAGACACCGGCUAACUCCGUGCCAGCAGCCGCGGUAAUACGGAGGGUGCGAGCGUUAAUCGGAAUUACUGGGCGUAAAGCGCAUGCAGGCGGCCGCGUUAAGUCAGAUGUGAAAGACCCGGGGCGUUAACCUCCGGAAAUUGCAUUUGUAAACUAGGCAGGCUAGAGUCUUGUAGAGGGGGGUAGGAAGUUUCAGGUGUAGCGGUGAAAUAGCGUAGAGAUCUGAAGGAAUACCAGUGGCGAAGGCGGCCCCCUCGGACAAAGACUGACGCUCAGAUGCGAAAGCGUGGGGAGCAAACAGGAUUAGAUACCCUGGUAG